AUGUUUGUCUUUACCUGGAUAAUAAUGCAACUUUGCAUGGGAACUUUUUUUGCUGAUACAAUUCAACCACUGUCUUUAGAAAAAUAUGUUGUUGAGGGUAAAAAUGUGACUUUGUCCUGUAAUUACAGUACCAGUACUGGCAAUGUUAACUCUCUCCAGUGGUAUCGACAGUAUGUCGGAGCAAAACCAGAGUUCCUACUUCAGGUCAAUGAAUAUUCAACUAAAUCUUCGCCUGAUCUUCGCCUGUAUUCAAAGGCUACAAAAGAAAUCAAGCGUGUGGAUCUGGAGAUCUCUUCUGCUGCUGUAUCAGACUUUGCUCUGUACUACUGUGCCCUGCAGCCCACAGUGACAGGAAACACAAGAACACUGUACAAAAACCUGACACGUGGGAAGAUGUACUAACUUUUUUUUUCUCCAUAAAUCUACCUGUGUUAUAAAUAGAUUUUGGAGAGAAUGUCGAUUUUCUUUUUUCCCUACUUUAAAAAUUAAACUUAAUUUGCAAUGCUUUUGGGUAACCAUUAGAUGGCGACAUGCACCAUAUAUUCAUAUUAUCAAGCCUCAUUACAGAAUUAACUCCUCUUUUCCAUUUAAUUAACAGAUAUCUCAUUUACAAAUCUGUUGCUCUACCUUUUUCAUAGUCUAUACAAUAACAACAACAACAGCAACAAAAUGAGUCUGGUUGAGGUUCUAUUAAUAUUCGCAAUUGAUCUUGGUGAGAACCUCAGUAUUUAAAGUGGAAAGAGGCUCGUUCAUGGAGCAGAACUGGGACCCCAGCUGCUCCUCGCUUUCAGUCGACUACAUCAGAAACAUCCACUGAACUCACUAUUACCAGUGUAACUCUGUCAGAUUCAGCUCUCUAUUACUGUGCUCUAAGAGUUGGAGUCCAGAGAUGCAAAUUAAUUUUUCUCUUUGAAACUGAACCACAUCAAAACCACAAUCUGUCAUACAUAGAAAUUAUUCAAUUAUGUGAAAACAUCAUGUAAAAAAAAUGUAGAAAUCAAAAAAUGAGUAUAUUUCAGCUAUUUUACUUAUAAUUAUUAAUUAUUAUUAUGUUUAUUAUUCUUUUUGUAUGUUAUAAGUAAUUAUCCUGUCACAUCCAUUAUGAUACAUCUGUUAUUACCCAAAGUGCUAUGCAUGUGCUCUAAUUUUACACUCAGUUUAUUAUGCAUAAAUGAUCUAUUAACUUAAUUCGAUCAAUUUACUUAGAUCAUUUAUUAUUAAUUCUAACUAAUUUCUACCUUGUUCAGUUCUAACUGACUUUGAAGAAACUGAAAAAAAAAAUUUACAUUAAUGAAGACUUUGGUGGUAUGAAAAGUCUAAUCUCGGAUUAUAAAUCUGAUUAUGUGUGUGUUUAGAGACAUAAGGAUCCUUCUGGGGCAAAAUCAGUAUUCAAUAUGCAAAAAUCUCAGACACUGCCAAAAUCUAUAAAAUCAAAUUAAUUUUAUGGAAUCUGAUACCAUAAUACUCUAAAAAUUACUAUUACAAACUAAUGAAUAAAUAAUGGUAGAAUUGUUGGUAGAAUUGUCAUUUGUGUGUGAAUGAUUUCUAGAAUCGGAAGGGUCUUUCGAAGAACUUUAAUGCAUUUAUUCACUUAAAGCACUGUUAACUUUUUUGGCCAACAAAAAUCUGAUUAAACAAAUCAAAGUAGAUGAAGAUGCAAAUGCACAGCAGAAUCUAAUUAUGCCCUAUGAUAAGCACAUUUUUCACUAUAUACAGUAAUCGUUCAAAACUCCACAUUUUGCUGUAAAAUCACAGAAGAGUACAAUAUUUAACAACAAUUUUCACACUCAAUGUACCUGGAAUGAACUUCUAAAUUUGAAUGAAUUUCAUGAACCUCAAAAAUCAAUUCACCUGAAUAUCAACUCUUUAUUAAACUAUCACGUAAGCGUAUGCAGUGAUGACCUGAUUAUGGGAUUCAAAAUCUAUUUAAAUACUAGGGGAAAAAAAGUAUUACAAGCGUAUGCAGUGAUGACCUGAUUAUGGGAUUCAAAAUCUAUUUUAAAUCUGGGGAAAAAAAGUAAUUACAAUUUGUUGAAACAUUUAAAACAAGUAGAUUUAUGACACUAAAUAAAUAAAACAUUUACGAUUCAGAAAUAUUUUUCUGGUCACUAAGCAUAUUUGUGACAUUGACGUUGGUAACUAUCAUUAUUAUACAUACUCUGUUUGAUUCUGUUCUUACACCUUUGCUCUAGAUCAAUAUUAUUUUGGUCAUAUAAAAAUUUUUUAUAAUAGCACUGUUAAUAUUAUUGGUCAAUUAAUCAUUUGUGUUUUGUCUUCUGUAUUUUUCUUCAAAAUCAACUGCAGUUGCAAAAGUUUUACUCUAACCAAUGCAAAAACAUGAGAAGCGGCAGACGGCAUCAUCACACAGAAAGCAGGAAGUUCCGGUGUGUUUGAGUGUGAAACUGCAGAGACUCACAGUAACACAGAUCUACAGCUCAGAGCAUAGAGAACAUUAACACACACCUGAUCUGACCGUCAACAUGGAAAAACACCUGCUUCUCAUUUUAAUUCUGAUUUCGGGUACAAUAUGACAUUUUUAUUUUCAUUUUAUUACAGUGGUAUUAAUGAGAUAAUUUGAGAUAAUUUUGUGUAACUUGAAUGACAAAUGACUUUUAUUUGUUUGAUUUAGGUGUGAUGACUGCAGACCAGAUUAGUCCAAAUAAAGAUGCUGUUGUCAUAAAGGAAGAUGAGACUGUGACCCUCAGCUGCUCAUAUGACACAAGCAGCAGUUAUGUUAGACUUUAUUGGUACAGACAGUAUCCUAAUGAAGAGCUUCAAUAUUUAAUAUAUACUUCACAAUCAAGUAGUGAAAGUAGUGGAAGGUUUCAUUUGACUACAUCACAAGCAUCCACUGAACUCACUAUUACUGGUGUAAUUCUGUCAGAUUCAGCUCUCUAUUACUGUGCUCUAAGAGCUGGAGCACAGUGGUACAAAGUCUACGUGAAGCCGUACAAAAACUCUAAGUAAUUUUUCACUUUGAUGGCAAGCAACAUCAAACCCACAAUCUAGAAUUCACACAAUAUAAUUAAACUUGUGGAAACACCUGUGUGUGGUUACUGAAAUGGUAAUAAAAGGAAACAAAAUAUAGUAGUAUAUAAUACGUCCCUAUUUCCUUACAGUACAUCACAACUCUCCUAAAGAGUAAGUAGCCAUGUAAUAAGCGCCACUUCACAUUGGGAUGCUUAUUCUGUGGUAAUCAACUGGAUGUACAUUAUCGUGAAAAAUCUGAAACUACAAAAAGAAACAGACUACGCAGUAAGAAGAAAACACUUCUAGAAAAUUCUGUUAAAACAUUCUCCCUUUUUAACUUACAGCAACAAUGGCAAAAUGGGUGAUUAUUACUCUUUUUUUCACAGUUCACGAGUUUGGUAAGAACAUUAUUUCAUCAUUUCUAUCUGUGUGAGAUAUUAAGUCUAUUUUCCAGUGUUUAUUUUCCAGUUCCAGUUUUGCUGGGGACAAGACAAAGUUGAACAACCUUCAAGAGAAAUGACUCCAAAUGAAGCAGCUCAAAUUACUCUACUGUGCAAUUACUCUACCAGCAGUUAUAAUGCAUAUCCUCACUGGUACAAACAACUACAAAACAUUCAUUCUGAGCGAAUUUACAAUUGGAAAAGGAACCAUGGUUCCCUGAGAAGGGGAAUGAGAUGUUUGGGGAAUGCCUCUGGCAUGACAGGUGUCUGAACCAUGAGUCUAAACACAACAAUGAACUUGAUAUUGGCGGACGGCAGCCUAUGAUGUCACAACUAGUGCAGCUAAGAGUAACUUGUAAAAAACGUUAUCCACUUCUUGUCUGAAGGAGAUGUCCAGGAAUUCCUGAAGCAUGGCUAAGGGAUGCAAUGUCUCGUUCCCCUUCUCAGGGAACCAUGGUUACAUGCAUAAGCUGAGACGUUCCCUUUCGAAUGGGGACAAUGUCAAGUUCAUUGUCAUGUUUAGACUCAUGCUUCAGUCACCGGUCAUGCCCGAGGCAUUACCCAUAGCACCAUGUAGGGGACGCAGCGUGGAGUUCCCAUUCGAAAGGGAACCAAUUUUUCCAUCACAAAUUCAGUAAAGAUUAUAUGAAAAAGUUUUUUUUAUAUAUGAAAAAGUGUUUUUUUUUAAACUACAUUAAAUGCAGUUAAUAUUUCCCACUGAUAAGUUACUGAUAAAGUAUUAAUCAUUUUGGAUAAUUCUGAACUUAUAUUUUAACCUACUGACCACUUGACUCAACAGUAUGUUACAUUAUGUUAAUCCUAAUACAUACAAUUAUAAAGGACGUUUUAAACAUAUUCGUGUCACUUUUGGUGUCUGUUAUUAGUUGUACAGCUGUGCCAACUGUUUUAGUACCACAAAAAAUAAACGGCAAACCUA
rnacentral:lncRNA from 1 species